AACGUUCCUGAGCGUGACGACGGGGUGUCCAUGCACGUGUGAGAUGUACCACCCUCGAACCUCGUUAUGUCAGCACAUCACCCGCUGACC
ensembl:snoRNA